CUACAGGUCAAGAUUCAACAGCACCCUCUGCUGGCGAGAAGAAGAAUGCUGUCUGGACAAGAUGGGGCAUGUUCAGCCACACUGACAAGCAGCAGACUAGUUGCAAGUAGACCGUACGAAGCUGCAUGGACUUUCUGUGUGUUUUCCCUGUUAUAUGUGCGUUCUUGAGGAAAUACCACACACACAUACAC